AGCGGGUUAUAGCGAAUAUGCUGGUGUUCUGGGGACAGUCAGUUAAGGAUCAGUCAGCAAAACUCCCUGUCUCCCUCUUCCCCCAAACAGCUCUAAAGCCCUAGCAGGCCCAAGUUCAGGGACGCUCGGUCGGCGUAGUUUCUAGAAGCUAAAGGCUGGCGGAGGGGAGUUAAAGGGUUAAACGCUUUCAUUGCCACACGUCCUGCAAGCCCUUCCUUCCCUCGACCGCCACCCUGGCCUCGGGGAGGAGUGCCGACCUUGACGCUGGGACUAAAACUUCCUACGGAAAAGGAAGGCUCGGUUCCGCACCACAGCGGGUGCAGGCGGCCCAGCAAUUACCGCUCGCCCGGAAGGUUGCUGCCAUGGCGUCCGCCUCUGAAGCCUGCUGGCGCUGCUCCGGAUCGGCUCCGCUGGGCGACGUGAGGCCACACGAAUUGACCUAAGGUCAGUCCAGAAGGUACACAGGGUAAGCGCUCCAUUCCAUAUUCCCCCCGCCCACCCUGGAUGAUUGGCUAGCCGCCAACACGUGACGAGGGGGACAUCCUGCCACUUGAGGGCGGGGCUCGGGACCGCCACACACCUCCUCGGGUUGUUUCGAUGAUUUUCCUGCACACCGGAUUGGAGCCACUUCUCUGGAGAGCAUCUGCAAAAACUGGCUGCUGUGUAUCCAUCCCUUCGCCCGGCCACGGAUUCAGCAAAUCUUUAGUGGAGGGGAAGCGAAAUUUCCAUACGCGUAACCACAGAUGCAGUGAGUUCACGUGUGCAAUGGCCCUGUCAUGUUCAGAAGACAUUGUUUUUUUAUUGAGCAUCUUAACGACGAGCCAGGCACCUAGGUUCUGUGUGGAGCAUAGAGAUGCCCUGUGCAAAGAACAGCAAGCAGCCUUCUGGACUCAUAAUGAUCACUUGCGGAGCAGCUGUGGUUAAGAUGCAAGUUGUGGAGGGGAUGGGAGUGGGGGUGCUUGAUCAUACAAUAGAUGAAGCCUGCAGCCUGGCCCUUGAGGUAUUGCCUGGAGAUGUAAGCACUUCACUGUAACUAGGCCUCUAUCCUCAGGAGCAGAAAUAUAAGCUUAGAUAAAAAGAACUGAGUAAGUAUGGGGUAUGGUGGGAUACACAAGUUCAAGUUCAGCCUACACAGUUCAACAUAGCAAAACCCAACCUAUAAAAGGAAGUAAACAAAAAAGAAAGUAAUGUGUGUGUGUGUGUGUGUGUGUGUGUGUGUGUACGCAUACACACCAAGCACAUUGGUACUUGCCUAUAGUCUCAGCUACUCUAGAAACUGAAGCAGAAGAUCAUUUGAGCCCACAAAUUCUAGACCAUCCUGGCCAAUAUAGUGAAGCCAAUCUCAGAAACAAGCAAAAGGCCAUUAGUGUUUGAAAGGCAGAGACAGGUAUCUCUAUGAGUAGCCUGGCUACAUAGAAAGUUCUAGGCUGUUGAGAUUUGGCCUCUUGCUAUGUAUUCUGAUAGGGGAGCUAGAGAGGUGGCUCAGUGGUUAAGAGCACUGACUGCUCUUCCAGAGGCCCUGAGUUCAAUUCCCAGCAACCACAUGGUGGCUCACAACCAUCUGUAAUGGGAUCUGAUGCCCUCUUCUGAUGUGUCUGAAGAGAGCAAUGGUGGUGUACUCUUUUAAAUACUGGCUCCCAAGGUCUGGUUGCCCCCACAGACAAGGAGAUCCUCAUGUAUACCAAGUGAUGCUAUGUAAACUUUGCCCCUCAACUUAUCCCUGAUUGGUUAAUAAAGAUAUCUACAGCCUA